GAUGAACGCUAGCGGGAGGCCUAACACAUGCAAGCCGAGCGGUAUUGUUUCUUCGGAAAUGAGAGAGCGGCGUACGGGUGCGGAACACGUGUGCAACCUGCCUUUAUCUGGGGGAUAGCCUUUCGAAAGGAAGAUUAAUACUCCAUAACAUAUUGAUUGGCAUCAAUUAAUAUUGAAAGCUCCGGCGGAUAGAGAUGGGCACGCGCAAGAUUAGCUAGUUGGUGAGGUAACGGCUCACCAAGGCGAUGAUCUUUAGGGGGCCUGAGAGGGUGAUCCCCCACACUGGUACUGAGACACGGACCAGACUCCUACGGGAGGCAGCAGUGAGGAAUAUUGGUCAAUGGGUGCAAGCCUGAACCAGCCAUCCCGCGUGAAGGACGACUGCCCUAUGGGUUGUAAACUUCUUUUGUAUAGGGAUAAACCUACCCUCGUGAGGGUAGCUGAAGGUACUAUACGAAUAAGCACCGGCUAACUCCGUGCCAGCAGCCGCGGUAAUACGGAGGGUGCAAGCGUUAUCCGGAUUUAUUGGGUUUAAAGGGUCCGUAGGCGGACUUAUAAGUCAGUGGUGAAAGCCUGUCGCUUAACGAUAGAACUGCCAUUGAUACUGUAAGUCUUGAGUAUAUUUGAGGUAGCUGGAAUAAGUAGUGUAGCGGUGAAAUGCAUAGAUAUUACUUAGAACACCAAUUGCGAAGGCAGGUUACCAAGAUAUAACUGACGCUGAGGGACGAAAGCGUGGGGAGCGAACAGGAUUAGAUACCCUGGUAGUCCACGCCGUAAACGAUGCUAACUCGUUUUUGGGCUUUAGGGUUCAGAGACCAAGCGAAAGUGAUAAGUUAGCCACCUGGGGAGUACGCUUGCAAGAGUGAAACCCAAAGGAAUUGACGGGGGCCCGCACAAGCGGUGGAUUAUGUGGUUUAAUUCGAUGAUACGCGAGGAACCUUACCAAGACUUAAAUGGGAAUUGACAGCUUUAGAAAUAGAGCUUUCUUCGGACAAUUUUCAAGGUGCUGCAUGGUUGUCGUCAGCUCGUGCCGUGAGGUGUUAGGUUAAGUCCUGCAACGAGCGCAACCCCUGUCACUAGUUGCCAUCAUUCAGUUGGGGACUCUAGUGAGACUGCCUACGCAAGUAGAGAGGAAGGUGGGGAUGACGUCAAAUCAUCACGGCCCUUACGUCUUGGGCCACACACGUAAUACAAUGGCCGGUACAGAGGGCAGCUACACAGCGAUGUGAUGCAAAUCUCGAAAGCCGGUCUCAGUUCGGAUUGGAGUCUGCAACUCGACUCUAUGAAGCUGGAAUCGCUAGUAAUCGCGCAUCAGCCAUGGCGCGGUGAAUACGUUCCCGGGCCU
rnacentral:rRNA from 1 species